GACGAACGCUGGCGGCGUGCUUAACACAUGCAAGUCGAGCGGUAAGGCCCUUUCGGGGGUACACGAGCGGCGAACGGGUGAGUAACACGUGGGUGACCUGCCCUCAGCUCUGGGAUAAGCCCGGGAAACUGGGUCUAAUACUGGAUAUGACUCCACGGUGCAUGCCGUGGGGUGGAAAGCCUUGUGCGGCUGAGGAUGGGCCCGCGGCCUAUCAGCUUGUUGGUGGGGUGAUGGCCUACCAAGGCGACGACGGGUAGCCGGCCUGAGAGGGCGACCGGCCACACUGGGACUGAGACACGGCCCAGACUCCUACGGGAGGCAGCAGUGGGGAAUCUUGCGCAAUGGGCGAAAGCCUGACGCAGCGACGCCGCGUGAGGG
rnacentral:rRNA from 1 species